AUUGAACGCUGGCGGCAGGCCUAACACAUGCAAGUCGGACGGUAGCACAGAGGAGCUUGCUCCUCGGGUGACGAGUGGCGGACGGGUGAGUAAUGUCUGGGGAUCUGCCCGAUAGAGGGGGAUAACCACUGGAAACGGUGGCUAAUACCGCAUAACGUCGCAAGACCAAAGAGGGGGACCUUCGGGCCUCUCGCUAUCGGAUGAACCCAGAUGGGAUUAGCUAGUAGGCGGGGUAACGGCCCACCUAGGCGACGAUCCCUAGCUGGUCUGAGAGGAAGAACAGCCACACGGGAACUGAGACACGGUCCAGACUCCUACGGGAGGCAGCAGUGGGGAAUAUUGCACAAUGGGCGCAAGCCUGAUGCAGCCAUGCCGCGUGUAUGAAGAAGGCCUUCGGGUUGUAAAGUACUUUCAGCGGGGAGGAAGGCGAUGUGGUUAAUAACCGCGUCGAUUGACGUUACCCGCAGAAGAAGCACCGGCUAACUCCGUGCCAGCAGCCGCAGUAA
rnacentral:rRNA from 1 species